CACGUAGGGGGCAAGCGUUGUCCGGAUUUAUUGGGCGUAAAGAGCGUGUAGGCGGCCACACAGGUCUGCUGUGAAAACUCGAGGCUCAACCUCGAGCUGUCGGUGGAAACCGUGUGGCUAGAGUCCGGAAGAGGAGAGUGGAAUUCCCGGUGUAGCGGUGAAAUGCGCAGAUAUCGGGAAGAACACCCGUGGCGAAGGCGGCUCUCUGGGACGGUACUGACGCUGAGACGCGAAAGCGUGGGGAGCGAACAGG
rnacentral:rRNA from 1 species